CAACUAGCGAAUGUACAAGCAUCACCACAAUCCAGCCUUAGAAUGUUUCCAUCAAAAAACUAACAAACAAACUAACAAACGGUGUCCAUCACCGUCCUCAUGCUUCAGCUAUGGUGAAUGGGAGCUUGAACCCUGGACCUCACUCUACCAGCCACCAAGUUGCAGAUGCUACCAUGACGCCAACCUGACGUCAUGAGACAGAUGACCUCUCCAGUGGACCCUGGAACCCCACCUCCCUCGAGCUCACUAGGGAAAGACAGAAACAGAAUGGGAGUAUGGAUCCAUCUGCCAUUGCCCAUGUGCAGCAGAGAAGCAAUUACAGAAGCCAGACCUUCCACCUUCUGCACCCCAUAAUGACCCUGGGUCCAUACUCCCAGAGGGAUAAAGAAUAGGGAUGCUUCCAAUGGAGGGGAUGGGAUACAGUGAUGGUGGAAAUUGUGUAGAAUUGUACCCCUCUUGCCCUAUGGUCUUGUUGAUCAUUAUUAAAUCAAUAGAAGUAAAAGUUAUAUAAAAAAGAAAGAAAAAAAUCUAUUGUACAC